rnacentral:tRNA from 1 species
CCUGGUGGCUCAGACAGUAAAGAGUCUGCCUGCAAUGCAGGAGGCCCAGGUUCGAUCCCUGGGUCAGGA